CCUACGGGUGGCAGCAGUGAGGAAUAUUGGUCAAUGGACGAGAGUCUGAACCAGCCAAGUCGCGUGAAGGAUGACUGCCCUAUGGGUUGUAAACUUCUUUUAUAUGGGAAUAAAAUGUUCCAUGUGUGGGAUUUUGUAUGUACCAUACGAAUAAGGAUCGGCUCACUCCGUUCCAUCAGCGCAGGUAAGACGGAGGAUCCGAGCGUUAACCGGAUUUAUUGGGGUUAACGGGAGCGUAGGUGGAUUGUUAAGUUAGUUGUGAAAGGUUGGGGCUUAACCGUAAAAUUGCAGUUGAAACUGGCAGUCUUGAGUACAGUAGAGGUGGGCAGAAUUCGUGGUGUAGCGGUGAAAUGCUUAGAUAUCACGAAGAACACCGAUUGCGAAGGCAGUCCACUGGAC
rnacentral:rRNA from 1 species